CCUACGGGAGUCAGCAGUGGGGAAUAUUGCACAAUGGGGGAAACCCUGAUGCAGCGACGCCGCGUGAGUGAAGAAGUAAUUCGUUAUGUAAAGCUCUAUCAGCAGGGAAGAACAUGACGGUACCUGCGUCAGAAGCCCCGGCUAACUACGUGCCAGAAGCCGCGGUAAUACGUUGGGGGCAAUCGUUAUCUGUAUUUACUGGGUGUAAAGGGAGCGUAGACGGCAGUGCAAGUCUGGAGGGAAAGGCGGGGGCCCAACCCGCGGACUGCUCUGGAACCUGUACGGUUGGAGUGCAGGAGAGGGAAGGGGAAUUCCGAGGGGAGCGGUGAAAUGCGGAGAGAAUAGGGGGAACACCAGUGGCGAAGGCGGCUUACUGGACUGUAACUGACGCUGAGGCGCGAAAGCGUGGGGAGCAAACAGGAUUAGAUACCCAUGUAGUC
rnacentral:rRNA from 1 species